UACAGAGGUGGCAAGCGUUGUUCGGAAUUACUGGGCGUAAAGGGCGCGUAGGCGGCCCGUCAAGUCCCGUGUGAAAGCCCCCGGCUCAACCGGGGAACGGCGCGGGAAACUAGCAGGCUUGAGUUCGGGAGAGGGAAGCGGAAUUCCUGGUGUAGCAGUGAAAUGCGUAGAUAUCAGGAGGAAUACCGAUGGCGAAGGCAGGUCUCUGGGCUGACACUGACGCUCAUGCACGAAAGCGUGGGGAGCAAACAGG
rnacentral:rRNA from 1 species